GACGAACGCUGGCGGCGUGCUUAACACAUGCAAGUCGAACGGAAAGGCCCUUCGGGGUACUCGAGUGGCGAACGGGUGAGUAACACGUGGGUGAUCUGCCCUGCACUUUGGGAUAAGCCUGGGAAACUGGGUCUAAUACCGAAUAGGACCGCAUGCUUCAUGGUGUGUGGUGGAAAGCUUUUGCGGUGUGGGAUGGGCCCGCGGCCUAUCAGCUUGUUGGUGGGGUAAUGGCCUACCAAGGCGACGACGGGUAGCCGGCCUGAGAGGGUGACCGGCCACACUGGGACUUGGAUACGGCCCAGACUCCUACGGGAGGCAGCAGUGGGGAAUAUUGCACAAUGGGCGCAAGCCUGAUGCAGCGACGCCGCGUGAGGGAUGACGGCCUUCGGGUUGUAAACCUCUUUCAGCAGGGACGAAGCGCAAGUGACGGUACCUGCAGAAGAAGGACCGGCCAACUACGUGCCAGCCGCCGCCGUAA
rnacentral:rRNA from 1 species